rnacentral:lncRNA from 1 species
GCAGGUACAAGAUUAGUAAAAUACAUACAUAAAUAUAAGGCAUAGAAGGUCACUGCACACAUUUUUUUUUAAGUUAAGUAGCUAGGUCACAGCGUAGUCAAACAUGUCUAUAUAGCAAAACAUAAGAUGUGGUCGAUGUGAGUUACUUAGACCUGUAAGUGAGUAUAAAACAAGCUGGUGAGACAUGCGUGUUAACAGAGUAAAAUAAUAAGCAAGUAGAUUAUUAGGCAAACACAUGUGUCAGUAUAAGAUUAGUUGGUGACAGGCUGUCUGAACGCAUGCCUAAUGAAUGCUAUAUAAAAUUAGAAAAACAUAAGAUUACAAAAUAAAUUAUAAUCAUGCUGGAUCUAGGUAAGGAGCUUUAGAGGAGCUAUCACCCUGGUUGAUCAAAGUUGCUUGAACUUAUGCAAAAGACAGGAACCGGCACCAUGGCGGGUCUGAGACCUCAUAUAAGGGAGCAGUCGUAUGAUUAGCUGUUGCCUGCUCUGCCGUGUCGGUGUAGCAGGAAAUGAGUGUCUGUCGAGGCAGGAGUCUGGGCACAGUCCAGCAUUACUUUUCGCUGAAUUCCUCGCUGGGUUCCCUUGGGCUGCAGCUGUUGUAAGUUGGGCCAGCCAUAUUUGAUCUUCAGGGGACCAGUGUCCACCAAGGCAGGGAGCUAGAUUUUAUCCAAUAAAACUUGCCACUGACUUCCACGCUGGAUUUUUGGGGCCGUCGCAAUACAAGAUGGGUGUAAGGUGAUAAAGGGGUCACCCCCUGUUGCAGGAGUACCUCGAUUAGCGGCAGGGUCGAUUGUCCCUGGCGGGUAUGGUCGUUGUGCUGUGUUCCGUCCCCUCUGUGCUGCAGCUGUCAUCAGCUUGAUUGGAUCGCCUGCACAGUUUGUCGCUGGCUUGGAUUGUUGCGGGGACGGGUGAGAGUUCUUCCGUCUGUUUGCAUUGCGAGGUAGGAAGGCUGCAAGCCCAUCAAGCUUGUGCCCGGGAGUCGCGCUGCUUAUUGUGAGCGCUGGGAGAGAGCAGUUCUUUCCUCUGCCUUCGGUGCACAUGGCGCCCGCCAUUUUAGAUGCAGCGCUCGGGCCGCAGAUCAAGGUGGUGUUGUCGCUGCGCCUUGGCUGCAGUUCCGCGGUCGGAGCAACAGGGUGAGGACCGGGAUCACCCCCACCGGUCCAGAGGGGGGGGAACAGGGCCAGGGUCACGCGGGUUUGGUCCUCUGGCUGGGUUCUGUUAGGCAGGAUAGCGGGGCAGCGGCCGUCUGCCCCACUCACCGCCGGAGAAGGCCCCAACUGGGACAUCGAAGAUUUCUCCUCCAGGGGACUGAAACUUGAGGAGCCAGCCUCUCCCUGGAUCCAGUGUUCCCUUUGCACUGAGGAUCAUUGCUGUUGGUCUGCUUUGAGUUCAAAAGUCAUGUUUUAAAAGCUUUAACGUUGGAACGGUGUAGGAGCUGGUCUUGCCUGCGACCAUCCAGCUCGGCGGCCCGGCCCCGCCCCCCU